AUGGCUGUCUACAACUGGUCCAACAUAUGCCCCCAAACUAAAACAAACAAACUCAUUUGCCAUACAAAUUGUUUACGAUUCAUUAAAAAGCAAAAUUGCAUAUCCCGGUGCUGGCAGCUGAGGCCGAGCCUCCACGGGCGGAGGGGGCAUUCACUGAGUUGCCUUUGUAUGCUGGGAGGACCAAGCGGAGGUUCCCACUAUGCAGCCCGGAGUCUGUGCAACCAGAUGACGCAUGAGGAUAUUUUCAAUGAGAAACAUGGAAGAUUUCUAAGCUACUAAAAUUGAAUCUCAGCAUAUUUGAGAAAUGGCAUUAGAGAGGAAAAAAAAAAAAACAACAACAAACCUACCAUCAACAGACAACGUACACAUUUGGAAACAAGAAGAUGAGAAGGAGAGCAGAAGCAACGUAUUUCUGCCUGCUGAAACCUCAGUGUUUUUACUAAACCAAGUCAUCAGUAUCUCUUUUAACAACCAUCCGAAAAUAUGCACAUUGGAUAUUGGCAGGACCUGUGUGGAAGCCUGGGGACCUCUGUGGCCUCAUGUGCUUUGAGCUUCUGCAGGCCACUUUUUAACGGAAUGACCAGAUACAGUGUCUGGGAGCCCUUCACCUGUCUGCAGUGGGCAGCUGAGUGCCCUCCAGAAGAUGGAAGUGGAUUCAUGACAUAUCUCUUCUGAUCUUGUAGGAUCUUUUGCUGUGAAUUUUGGCUUCUUGAGAAGCUAGCUCACACAUUGCCUCCGGUGGCUGCCCUCCUGUUUCUCUAUGCUUGGUUCCAUUUAUUGACAGUUUCUUGUUUAUUCUCCAAAGCAUCACUGACAGAAGGCAGCUAUAUGGAACAGAUUUUUACUAAAAGUUUAGGGAUGACUACAGGAUUAUAGCACAGAACGGGAAGCGACCUAAAACGGAAACUGAAUUAUUAGAAGUCUUAAAGACUGCCAGCCUUUAUUUCCCACAAGGGAAAUCUUCCCUUGCCGUGUAUAUUUAGGUCCUACUUAGGCACUUACGGAUAUGUUUCAUUUGACCACGGCUCCAAAAUUCCCAUUUAUUUAUGUGCAGUGCAAAUCAGCAUGCUCUCUCUCUCUUCUUUCUUUCUUUCGUUCUUUCUUUUUUUUUUUUAAGAUUUUUAUUUAUUCACUUGACAGACAGAGAUCACAAGUAGGAGGAGAGGCAGGCAGAGAGAGAGGAGGAAGCAGUAUCCCCGCUGAGCCGAGAGCCCGAUGAGAGGCUUCAACCCAGGACACUGAGAUCAUGAUCUGAGCCAAAGGCAGAGGCUUUAACCCACUGAGCCACCCAGGUGCCCCUCAUUCUUUCUUUCUUUUGUAAGUUCUUACCCAUCCAGAACAACAUAGGAGGGUACAAAAUUUUUUUUUCUUGUAAACAGUUUCUAAAUUGUAUUCCAAAAGAAAUAAGAAUCUAGAUUUUAUAAAUACUAAGAGAGAAUCUGGAGAAGUUUGAUAUCAGAUUCUUACUGUUCAAUAUCACUACUACUAUGACCAUUAAAACUACCAUACUAUACACCGAAAAAGUUGCGCUGUUCUAAAUGUUAUUUAUUUAUUUUUAGAGAGAGAGAGAGAGAGUGAGAGUGAGUGCACCGUGGCAGGGGUGGUUUGGGGCAGAGGGAGAAAGAGAAUCUUAGGCAGGCUCCAUGCCCAGUGUGUAGCCCAAGGUGAGGCUCUAUCUCACAACCCUGAGAGCAUGACCUGAGUUGAAAUCAAGAGUUGGAUGCUUAGUUGACUGAGCCACAUGGAUUUCCCUAAUGUUGGGCCCCUCUGUGCCCCUGAGUUUAGAGGCCGAGAGCUCAUGCUCUGAGCCCUGGCCUGAGCGGCCUGGGGCUGGGUGGGAGAGUGGCCGUGUGGCAGUCAUGGAAAGGUUACACAGUGAUCCAUUUGAAAUGACUUCUUUAAAAGGGAGCUGUAAGUAUGGCAGAUAUUUAAAUUUUCAGUCUGGUCUCUGCUAGGAUAAAGCUGGGUCUUUCAGUUAAGGGGAUAGUGCUGAUACCCUGGCUGUGUGCUUAAUCAAAGGAAGCAUAAAAAUGUCUCAGUAGGGGGCACCUGAGU
rnacentral:lncRNA from 1 species